rnacentral:rRNA from 1 species
UUGGAUAACCGUGGUAAUUCUAGAGCUAAUACAUGCUGAAACCCCAACUUCGGGAGGGGUGUAUUUAUUAGAUAAAAAACCAACGCCCUUCGGGGCUUCUUGGUGAUUCAUGAUAACUUUACGGAUCGCAUGGCCUUGCGCCGGCGACGGUUCAUUCAAAUUUCUGCCCUAUCAACUUUCGAUGGUAAGGUAUUGGCUUACCAUGGUUUCAACGGGUAACGGGGAAUUAGGGUUCGAUUCCGGAGAGGGAGCCUGAGAAACGGCUACCACAUCCAAGGAAGGCAGCAGGCGCGCAAAUUACCCAAUCCCGACACGGGGAGGUAGUGACAAUAAAUACUGAUACAGGGCUCUUUUGGGUCUUGUAAUUGGAAUGAGUACAAUUUAAACCUCUUAACGAGGAACAAUUGGAGGGCAAGUCUGGUGCCAGCAGCCGCGGUAAUUCCAGCUCCAAUAGCGUAUAUUAAAGUUGUUGCAGUUAAAAAGCUCGUAGUUGAAACUUGGGCCUGGCUGGCAGGUCCGCCUCACCGCGUGUACUUGUCCGGCCGGGCCUUCCUUCUGGAGAACCUCAUGCCCUUCACUGGGCGUGUUGGGGACCAGGACUUUUACUUUGAAAAAAUUAGAGUGUUCAAAGCAGGCCUUUGCUCGAAUACGUUAGCAUGGAAUAAUAGAAUAGGACGUGCGGUUCUAUUUUGUUGGUUUCUAGGACCGCCGUAAUGAUUAAUAGGGACAGUCGGGGGCAUCAGUAUUCAAUUGUCAGAGGUGAAAUUCUUGGAUUUAUUGAAGACUAACUACUGCGAAAGCAUUUGCCAAGGAUGUUUUCAUUAAUCAGUGAACGAAAGUUAGGGGAUCGAAGACGAUCAGAUACCGUCGUAGUCUUAACCGUAAACUAUGCCGACUAGGGAUCGGGCGAUGUUCUUUUUUUUGACUCGCUCGGCACCUUACGAGAAAUCAAA